rnacentral:rRNA from 1 species
GAUGAACGCUGGCGGCAGGCUUAAUACAUGCAAGUUGAACGGUAACAUUUUGUAGCAAUACAGAGAUGACGAGUAGCGUACGGGUGCGUAACACGUGUGCAACCUACCUUAUACAGGAACAAAACGUUGAGAAAUUAGCGCUAAUAUUCCAUAAUAUUAUUGAUAGGCAUCUAUUUAUAAUUAAAGCUCAGGUGGUAUAAGAUGGGCACGCGUUCCAUUAGCUAGUUGGUAAGGUAACGGCUUACCAAGGCAACGAUGGAUAGGGGUUCUGAGAGGAUACACCCCCACACUGGAACUGAGACACGGUCCAGACUCCUACGGGAGGCAGCAGUAAGGGAAUAUUGGGCAAUGGAGGCAAACUCUGACCCAGCCAUGCCGCGUGCAGGGAAAGACAGUCUUAUGGAUUGUAAAACUGCUUUUAAUAGGGAAUAAUUUCGAUUAUGUAUAGUUGAUUGCAGGUACCUAUAGAAUCAGCAUCGGCUAACCCGUG